GGAUAAUAUAUUCAAAGUGCCGAGAGAAAAUAAACCAAUAAUCAACUAAAAUAUUGUUCAACUGUGAGAGCAAAGUAAAGUUUUUCUACCCAGAAGCGACCUCUAUUAUCAGCAUCUGGUAUAAUCUUCUAAAGAUAUUACACCCGUAUACAUAAUACAUACACACAUUGUAGGUGUUUAGCGAAUGUUUGCAGAUUGAGUGAUUCAAAAGAAAAAGCACACCUCUAAAAUCUUGGCAAAAGAACAAAACAAAACGAAAUGAAAAUCUCAGUACAGAAGUAAAUGCCAACUAAAGUUACAAACUGAUUCCAAAAAGUUCUUCUCUCUAUGCAAAUGUCUGGAUAAC